UAAAGGAACAAGAAACACCUCACUGGAAGCCUUAAGACACAAGCAAACCAGAAUUGCUGGAGAAGCAUCAAGAAGUCUGAUGUGAAUGGAAUGGGCGAAUACUAAGCUGGCCAUGGAGUGGUGUGCCAAGUGCCUGCACUUUACAGGUGAAUAACUGGGACUAUUUAUUAAAGUGUGAGAAUCUAUGAGACCAGAGACUGUUGAUGUAUACCCGUGGAGGAUACUGGAAUCACCUUGGAAUUCAAAUGCUGAAUUCGGUUGGCCAUGAGAAGAUUGGAUAGAUGGCAGAGAAGACAGGAAUCAGCAUCACAAGGAAUGGAGAUAGUUGCAUGAACCUCCACAAAGGGACACUCGGAAUCCCAGGCUCAGCCUUCAGAGUUGGAAAUCUCUCGCUGCAUGCUUCCAUGGCUUUUAUUAAAGAACAAGGAGUCUUCAGUGCGAUGACUUCUGGGAAGAGUUUGGGGACUGCUUUGUCUAACACACAGGCUAUGGUAAGGAGAUUGGCAGUUUGUUCUCCUGGGAAGUGGAGCUUCCUGGAUGGAAUAUGAAGCCCAGGAAUCACAUCAAUGCUAUGUGUCUGGUUAUUCUUGCAACGGCUGCCAUAAUCUCCCUAGCCCAUAUUCCCUUCUGGAGCCUCCUCACUCCCGCAUCAAGAAGCAGCUUGUAACCUCCUUCCUCUGGCAUAUGGAUGGGCUCCUGGCUCACACAACCACGUGUGACUGUGUUUUCUUCAGCCAGGAUACAAGGUGAUGUGCCACCUCCUUGUGACCAAAACCUGGGGCUGUGGCCCUGACUCAUCACACAGGCUUCCAGCCACUCGAGGGGCUGAGUUGAGAGGAAGGCUUGGCCAUAUGAGAGGCUCUUUUAGGUGACCCACCGCAUUUGUCUUCUAGAGCUGCCACAAUAAGGCACACAGACUCUUGGCUUACAGAACAAGAGCUUAUUUUCCUAUGAUUCUGGAGGCUGGAAGUUUGAGAUCAAGCUGUCUGUGAAGUUGGUUCCUCCCAGUACCUCUCUCUUUGAGUUGUAGGUAGCCUUCCCAUGUCAUUCCUCUCACCCUCCAGCAGGUGUGAAUGUUUCUGAGCAUACCAGUUUUAUUGCAUUAGGGCUAACCAAUGACUUCAUCGCCUCUCGAAAGAUCCUAUCACAUUGUGAGGUGCUGGGCGUUAGGACUUCAACAUAAAAAUUCAGACAAGGUCACAAUUCAGCCCACAGAAGCCCAGCUGAGGUCCCAGGCAACAGCCAGCAUCAGCCAUCAGCUCCUGAACAGAGACUGGAGGCGCCCCCACAUGACACCAGCACUGACCACAGUCCUGGACACUGAGGAGCAGAGAGAUGUGCUGUCACUUUGUGCCUUUUCAAGCUCCUGACCCACAGAAUCUAUGGGCAGAAUACCAUUCAACACCUCUGAAUUCUAAAGACUGGUAUGUGGCUUGUUACUCAACAAAUAGUAACUGAAAUAUACUUUGGGUGGGGAGUCCCAGAUUAUUUCACCCAAUCUUUACAUCCAUCUAGUGCACGUUUCAUGGAUGAGGAAACCGAGACAUGUACAAUCAUGUAAAUUGCCCAAAGAUGCAGUUGCUAAGCAGUGACACAGAUCUGAACCCAGUCUCUGUCUGACAACCAACUCUGUCCUCCGUGGAGUCCGUCUGGGACAACAGACAGAGAUCAGGUGCUGACAACUGCUCUAAUCUGCCCCGGGGAAAGCUAUGUCUUUUCCUAGAUUUGCUGUCAGCAGUUCCCUGCCCUGCCUGCCUGGUAAACUCAGAGGAAGCUAUGUCCCAGAGCUACUCAGAGCAAACACAAAAUGACUCACUUCAGCAACCGUCCAUUUGCGCCCGGGGGGCAUCCAGGGGGGUAAAUCUUCAGACAGUUGUAUAUCUGGAGCAGCUGAGGGGGCAUUUGGAGGCACACAUGCAGAUGGGACUGUGGCGUCCACUCUGCAAGACCCUCACAACCUUGGAGAUACACCCUGACCUCUGGGCUGUUUACAAGGCUUGGUGUUCAAAGGGAGCAGCUAAUGUUCCUCUGGCCAUUUGUUCCAAGCGCUGGUGUCUUUCUCUCUUUUGCUUUUUAAGAUUCACUUAUUUAUUUGAAAGGCAAAAUAAAUGGCUAGAGAGGGGGAGAGAGGGGGAGAUACAGAGACAGAGCAAGAUUUUCUAUUUGCUGAUUCAUUCCCUGAAUGCCCACCACACACAGGGCUGUGCUAGGAGGCAGGAAUUCCACCCUGGUCUCCUACAUGGACGGAAGGAGCCCAAGCACUUUGAGCAUCACCCACGGACUUCGCAGGUGCACUAUCAAGACUGUGGGUCAGUAGCAGAGAAGCUGGAACUUGAAUCAGCACUCCCGUACAGGACACUGCAUGCCAAGGAGUGCUUCAACCCACUGUAACACAAUGCUGGCCCCAAGGACCGGUUUCUAUCCAAGAAAACAGCAAGCAGCAAGGCAAAAAUUAAAACCCAGCUCAGGGUUAUUUUUAACUGUGCUUGCCUGCUGCCUUUUAUUUUUUUUCCAAGAAAUAGAUCAAGCAUUCUUCCCCUUUCCCCUCUCGCUCUCAAAAACAUCUGGAGUCUACACUAUUCUGUCAACUAUUUCUAUUCUGAUAUUCCCUCUUGGGGGAAAAAUCUUAUUUUUCACCAAAUGCUGUGGCAAAACUGUCCAGAAGUGCAAGUGCAAAGCAUGUGAUACCUUCCUUUCUAUUUCCCUUCCCAACUGGAACAACUGGGACAGCUGCUGUGGAUUUUCAGUGCUUCCUAGAGGUAUUUUUUUUUUUUGACAGGCAGAGUGGACAGUGAGAGAGAGAGACAGAGAGAAAGGUCUUCCUUUUGCCGUUGGUUCAUCCUCCAAUGGCCGCCGGGGCCAGCGCGCUGAGGCCAGCGCACCGCACUGAUCUGAAGGCAGGAGCCAGGUGCUUUUCCUGGUCUCCCAUGGGGUGCAGGGCCCAAGGACUUGGGCCAUCCUCCACUGCACUCCCUGGCCACAGCAGAGAGCUGGCCUGGAAGAGCGGCAACCGGGACAGAAUCCGGCGCCCCGACCGGGACUAGAACCCGGUGUGCUGGCGCCACAAGGUGGAGGAUUAGCCUAGUGUGCCGCAGUGCCAGCUGAGGUAUUUCUUCUGCCUCACCCACUGGAGAUACAGGGGCUGGCUCUGCAGGAUCUCCCAGAACUCCCUGCUUCCCAGGGCUUCCUAUUAAACCUGUGUUCCACAGGAGAAAUCCAACUGCAUUCUACAAUUCUGGUUAUCAGAGCAUCAAAUCCAAGUUUGACCUACAUGACAAGGCAAAUCGGUCAGGAACACACCCCGGACUACGACAAAUUGAUUUUUCUGGCUUUACUGAUGUCAAGGGAGAUAUAUCGCAAUGAUUAAUAAUUUAUCAGACAGAUAAAAGCUUUUGUUGUUGUCUUUGUUAGUCAAGAGAGUCCAAGGUUUUAUUGUCCCAGAUUUGAGUACUAAUUGGGGAGGUGUUCACCCUUAGGACUUCGACAAAAAGCAACAAUAGAAGAUCCAUGGAAGUCUUUCUCUGUACUUGCCCCCACAAAAGAGCAGUGAUGGAAAGCGAAUAACAAAUCGUGUUAGAGGAAACUUGAUUUUUCUGUUCUCAGAGUUUUUCCUACCCUACCCACACUAAGGUCUGGUUUUUUGGCAUGAGUACAAUAGGGGCUUUGGGAAUGCCUGUUUUGUUUUGUUACACUGAGUGACGAUAAGACGAUUCAGACAUGAAAUGAAGUUUUUUCCUACAUCUCCAUGGAAAUGCAGCAUGCAGUACUAUGCAUGGCAUGGUGUAUGCACUUUAUAAAUGUUCUCUCUGUGAAAGGAGGGAUGAAUGAAUGAAUACAUGUGUGAAUGGUGUCGUUUGUGUCAGACAAUUACAUAUUGUGAACAAUUUAAAUAGCAGGGAAAUUAACCCUGAGCAAAAGAAAAAUUUGAACGCUUUCAGUGGAGUUUUUGUGUUUUUUUGUAAAACUAUUUCUCUCUCUUUUUUCUUACUUAAUUUUCCCACUGUUUGACUUUCUCUGUCACCUGUCUUACUUCAGGUUCCAUUAAAUGAUUAGGCAAA